AGUGAACGCUGGCGGCGUGCUUAACACAUGCAAGUCGAACGAGAACGGGUUAUAGCUUGCUAUAAUUGUCAGCUAAGUGGCGCACGGGUGAGUAAUGUAUAGGUAAUAUGCCUCUUACUAAGGGAUAACAAAUGGAAACGUUUGCUAAUACCUUAUACUCCUUAUUAACAGAAGUUAAUAAGGGAAAGAUUUAUUGGUAAGAGAUUAGCCUGUAUUGUAUCAGUUAGUUGGUGGGGUAAUGGCUUACCAAGACUAUGACACAUAACUGGUUUGAGAGGAUGAUCAGUCACACUGGAACUGAGACACGGUCCAGACUCCUACGGGAGGCAGCAGUGGGGAAUAUUGCACAAUGGACGAAAGUCUGAUGCAGCAACGCCGCGUGGAGGAUGACACAUUUCGGUGCGUAAACUCCUUUUAUAUGAGAAGAUAAUGACGGUAUUAUAUGAAUAAGCACCGGCUAACUCCGUGCCAGCCGCCGCUGUAA
rnacentral:rRNA from 1 species